UACGGGGGGAGCAAGCGUUGUUCGGAUUUACUGGGCGUAAAGGGCGCGUAGGCGGCCAGCACAAGUCAGUUGUGAAAUCUCCGAGCUUAACUCGGAACGGUCAACUGAUACUGUGCGGCUAGAGUGCGGAAGGGGCAACUGGAAUUCUUGGUGUAGCGGUGAAAUGCGUAGAUAUCAAGAGGAACACCUGCGGCGAAGGCGGGUUGCUGGGCCGACACGUGACGCUGGAGGCGACGAAAGCGUGGGGAGCGAACCGG
rnacentral:rRNA from 1 species